GACCCGGUGGCGGAUGGUCCGCAUCUCCAUUCCUUAAUAAAUAUCCUGCCGUCAAGAUGUAAGGAGAAGUGCCCGUUCGAUUCGGGCCUGGGUCA